rnacentral:rRNA from 1 species
CCUACGGGAGGCAGCAGUGGGGAAUUUUGGACAAUGGGCGCAAGCCUGAUCCAGCAAUGCCGCGUGCAGGAUGAAGGCCUUCGGGUUGUAAACUGCUUUUGUACGGAACGAAACGGUGAGCUCUAAUAAAGUUUGCUAAUGACGGUACCGUAAGAAUAAGCACCGGCUAACUACGUGCCAGCAGCCGCGGUAAUACGUAGGGUGCGAGCGUUAAUCGGAAUUACUGGGCGUAAAGCGUGCGCAGGCGGUUAUAUAAGACAGAUGUGAAAUCCCCGGGCUCAACCUGGGACCUGCAUUUGUGACUGUAUAGCUAGAGUACGGUAGAGGGGGAUGGAAUUCCGCGUGUAGCAGUGAAAUGCGUAGAUAUGCGGAGGAACACCGAUGGCGAAGGCAAUCCCCUGGACCUGUACUGACGCUCAUGCACGAAAGCGUGGGGAGCAAACAGGAUUAGAUACCCUGGUAGUCCACGCCCUAAACGAUGUCAACUGGUUGUUGGGUCUUCACUGACUCAGUAACGAAGCUAACGCGUGAAGUUGACCGCCUGGGGNGACGCGCGAGUAGUAAGUAAGUAGUAGUGCGNGNGAGAGNGACGACGACGACGACGGAGGGAGGAGG